rnacentral:lncRNA from 1 species
CCUACUUCUUCUAACUUUACUAAUUGGGACAAGCAUAUUUUCCCAACAAGUUGUAAAGAUCUAUAUUAUAUUUUAGGAGGAGGACUCACUUAAGAAUCAAAUUUCAACUCUGAAUGUAAUGCUGCAUGCAGAUUUUUUAAAAGUAUUUUCAUUGUAUUUCCAUUUAUUAGGUCAUUGUAACCUCACUGCACAGACACUUCACUACAAAGUGGGCACUGGCAUGAUCUUAUCUGCUACAAUUCCUCUUAGAAAUGGUUUACACAAACAGACAAAUCGACUCCAUCCAGAAACUGUACAGAUUGAUGAUAUGAAGGUUUUAGACUGGCAAAAGGAGACUGCAGAGUACGGAAAUACAGUAUUACAAACUGAGAGGCAAGCUGUUUAUUUCUGCCUUUUAUAUUUGGUAUUUUGCAUGUGUGUGUAUGUGGCUCAAUGGAUAUACACUGAUCCUUUUUAUGCAACUAUUCCCAUGUAUCUUUUCUGCAAUGAGGUUUAGAGUUCUUCAAUAUUCAUAAAUAUGUUACAUUCCCUGACAUUUUGCAUAGCGUUAGCACAGGUGUUAAACUUAGAAACUCAGAAGUAGGAGACACUUAUCUAGGAUUACAUUGGGACAAGUAACUUGAACUCUCCAAACAAUAAUUUCCUCACUUUUUAAAUUGUAAUAAUAAUAACAGCUACCUCAAUGAGUUAUUGCAUGUUUUGUGUAAGUUAGAGCAUAAAGUGCAUAUAUUAGAACCUUGAACACAUAAUGUACUAAAAAAGUACAUAUUGUGCUUAUAUUAUUAUUGCACUUGGUAAAAAAAU